rnacentral:rRNA from 1 species
AGAUCUAAUCCAGAGUACCACGAGACACGUGAAACCUUGUGGGAAGCAGGGAGGACCACCUCCCAAGGCUAAAUACUACCUAGUGACCGAUAGUGAAGCAGUACCGUGAGGGAAAGGUGAAAAGAACCCCGGAAGGGGAGUGAAAUAGAACCUGAAACCGUGUGCCUACAACCGAUCGGAGCACGUUAAAGUGUGACGAUGUGCUUUUUGUAGAACGAGCCAGCGAGUUACGCUAUGUAGCAAGGUUAAGUACUUAAGGUAUGGAGCCGAAGGGAAACCGAGUCUGAAAAGGGCGAAAAGUUGCAUGGUGUAGACCCGAAACCGGGUGACCUAUCCAUGGCCAGGUUGAAGCGAGAGUAAAAUCUCGUGGAGGACCGAACCACGUUGGUGUUGAAAAACCAUGGGAUGAGCUGUGGAUAGCGGAGAAAUUCCAAUCGAACUCGGAGAUAGCUGGUUCUCCUCGAAAUAGCUUUAGGGCUAGCGUCGUGUAAUUGAGUAAUGGAGGUAGAGCACUGAAUGGGCUAGGGGCUAUAGUAGUUACCGAACCCUAUCAAACUCCGAAUGCCAUAUACUUGUAUCACGGCAGUCAGACUGCGAAUGAUAAGAUCCGUAGUCAAAAGGGAAACAGCCCAGACCAUCAGCUAAGGUCCCAAAGUGUAAGUUAAGUGGAAAAGGAUGUGGGAUUUCUAAGACAACUAGGAUGUUGGCUUAGAAGCAGCCACUCAUUUAAAGAGUGCGUAAUAGCUCACUAGUCAAGAGAUCCUGCGCCGAAGAUGUCCGGGGCUCAAACUUACCACCGAAGCUAUGGGUGUACACUAUGUGUACGCGGUAGAGGAGCUUUCUGUAUGGGUUGAAGUCGUACCGUAAGGAGCGGUGGACUGUACAGAAGUGAGAAUGCUGGCAUAAGUAGCGAGAAAUAAGUGAGAAUCUUAUUGGCCGAAAACCUAAGGUUUCCUGAGGAAGGUUCGUCCGCUCAGGGUUAGUCGGGACCUAAGCCGAGGCCGAAAGGCGUAGGUGAUGGACAAUCGGUUGAUAUUCCGAUACCACCUAUUUACGUUUGAGAAAUGGGGUGACGCAGUAGGAUAAGAUGUGCGCACUAUUGGAUGUGCGUCUAAGCACUUAGGCAUGCUUGAUAGGCAAAUCCGUCGAGCUAAGCUGAGGUGUGAUGGGGAGCCAUUUAUGGCGAAGUAUCUGAUUCCACACUGCCAAGAAAAGCCUCUAUCGAGUGAAUAGGUGCCCGUACCGCAAACCGACACAGGUAGGUGAGGAGAGAAUCCUAAGGCCAUCGGAAGAAUUGCUGUUAAGGAACUCGGCAAAUUGACCCCGUAACUUCGGGAGAAGGGGUGCCUACGAAAGUAGGCCGCAGAGAAUAGGCCCAAGCAACUGUUUAGCAAAAACACAGGUCUCUGCUAAAGCGAAAGCUGAUGUAUAGGGGCUGACGCCUGCCCGGUGCUGGAAGGUUAAGGGGAACACUUAGCGUAAGCGAAGGUGUGAACUUAAGCCCCAGUAAACGGCGGCCGUAACUAUAACGGUCCUAAGGUAGCGAAAUUCCUUGUCGGGUAAGUUCCGACCCGCACGAAUGGCGUAAUGAUUUGGGCACUGUCUCAACAGCAAAUCCGGCGAAAUUGUAGUGCAAGUGAAGAUGCUUGCUACCCGCGAUUGGACGGAAAGACCCCGUAGAGCUUUACUGUAGCUUAGCAUUGAAUCUCGGUAUUGUCUGUACAGGAUAGGUGGGAGACUUGGAAGCUUGGGCGUCAGCCUGAGUGGAGUCAUCCUUGGGAUACCACCCUGACAGUACUGGGGUUCUAACCGGCGGCCAUGAAUCUGGUCACGGGACAUUGUUAGGUGGGCAGUUUGACUGGGGCGGUCGCCUCCUAAAAAGUAACGGAGGCGCCCAAAAGUUCCCUCAGCGCGGUCGGAAAUCGCGCGAAGAGUGCAAAGGCAGAAGGGAGCUUGACUGCGACACAUACAGGUGGAGCAGGGACGAAAGUCGGGCUUAGUGAUCCGGUGGUACCUCGUGGGAGGGCCAUCGCUCAACGGAUAAAAGCUACCUCGGGGAUAACAGGCUGAUCUCCCCCAAGAGUCCACAUCGACGGGGAGGUUUGGCACCUCGAUGUCGGCUCGUCGCAUCCUGGGGCUGAAGUAGGUCCCAAGGGUUGGGCUGUUCGCCCAUUAAAGCGGCACGCGAGCUGGGUUCAGAACGUCGUGAGACAGUUCGGUCCCUAUCCGUCGCGGGCGUAGGAAAUUUGAGAGGAGCUGUCCUUAGUACGAGAGGACCGGGAUGGACCAACCUCUGGUGCACCAGUUGUCACGCCAGUGGCACAGCUGGGUAGCUAUGUUGGGACUGGAUAAACGCUGAAAGCAUCUAAGCGUGAAGCCAACCUCAAGAUGAGAUUUCCCAUAGCGUAAGCUAGUAAGACUCCUGGAAGAACACCAGGUUGAUAGGUCAGAGAUGUAAGCAUGGCAACAUGUUAAGUUGACUGAUACUAAUAAGUCGAGGGCUUGACCAAAA